rnacentral:other from 2 species
AUCAACCUGUGGUGUUCGAUCACCUGUUAUUUUGAACCUACAACUUAUAAUAGGGAGACGGAUAUGCGAAGAAUAAUGCCAGGCCACAACCUAAUUCGCUUUGCGCAGUGGAAGGCAACAAUUCGGACUGAGUCACCCACCUAGCUUAGCUAGGGCGUCAAAAUUGCAGGAACGGCAUCUUGGGCUAAUU